rnacentral:misc_RNA from 1 species
GAAAUGCGAAAAGUAGUGUGAAUUGCAGAAUUCAGUGAAUCAUCGAAUCUUUGAACGCACAUUGCGCCCCUUGGUAUUCCAUGGGGCAUGCCUGUUCGAGCGUCAUUUGUACCUUCAAGCACUGCUUGGUGUUGGGUGUCUUUUGUCCCCGCCUCUGCGCGUGGGACACACCUCAAAUCCAUUGGCAGCCGGCGUAUUUGCCUUGGAGCGCAGCACAUUUUGCGCCCCUCGGCCUGCACGUUGGCGUCCAUGAAGCCUACAUUUUUUGCUCUUGACCUCGGAUCAGGUAGGGAUACCCGCUGAACUUAA